rnacentral:piRNA from 1 species
GGGUCACUGGUGAGCCUU